UGCCCCCCAAACUCCAUAGCUCUGGAGGAGAAGCAGCAAAGAGAGCAGCACGGUGGAGAAAAUCCUGUCCAUGGCUGCGGAGGAGCCGGAGGCUGGAUGCGGAGUGGCAAGCAGGAGCCUUGGCCCAGAGUAUCUCUCAUUUUUGGAAAGUCUUCAAUAUUCUUCCAUUGUGUCAGAGCAGCUGGAUGCUACUAUUAAAGAGAUCACCGGUAAUCUAGCAGGCUACAAAGUCUGGAUGUCUCAGAAACAUGUGGAUGGGCACGAAAUCCACCUCUCAGAGAUCCAAGGUCCCCUGGUCAAUUAGGACUGGCCUGAAUGGCCAGGUCAUUCAAGAAAAUCC